rfam:Branchiostoma floridae genomic scaffold BRAFLscaffold_262, whole genome shotgun sequence.
GUAGGCUACGGUGACGUGUACCCAAGAAGCCUUGGUGGGAAGUUAGGAGGGCUGAUGUGUGUCCUGUGUGGCUUUAUUGUACUCGCCAUACCUUCACCCGCCAUUGUCGCCAAC